rnacentral:rRNA from 1 species
CUAUGGGUUGUAAACUGCUUUUAUACAGGAAGAAACACUGGUAUGUAUACCAGCUUGACGGUACUGUAAGAAUAAGGACCGGCUAACUCCGUGCCAGCAGCCGCGGUAAUACGGAGGGUCCGAGCGUUAUCCGGAAUCAUUGGGUUUAAAGGGUCCGCAGGCGGUCAAUUAAGUCAGAGGUGAAAUCCCAUAGCUUAACUAUGGAACUGCCUUUGAUACUGGUUGACUUGAGUCAUAUGGAAGUAGAUAGAAUGUGUAGUGUAGCGGUGAAAUGCAUAGAUAUCACACAGAAUACCGAUUGCGAAGNGCAGUCUACUACGUAUGUACUGACGCUCAUGGACGAAAGCG